rnacentral:rRNA from 1 species
GAUGAACGCUAGCGACAGGCCUAACACAUGCAAGUCGAGGGGCAGCGGGGAUGAAGCUUGCUUCAUCUGCCGGCGACCGGCGCACGGGUGAGUAACACGUAUGCAACCUGCCCGCCACAGGGGGAUAAACGCUGGAAACGGCGCCUAAUACCCCAUACUAUCGCUAUGCUGCAUGGCAUGGCGAUGAAAACUCCGGUGGUGGCGGAUGGGCAUGCGGCGCAUUAGCUGGUUGGCGGGGUAACGGCCCACCAAGGCGACGAUCGUUAGGGGUUCUGAGAGGAAGGUCCCCCACACUGGAACUGAGACACGGUCCAGACUCCUACGGGAGGCAGCAGUGAGGAAUAUUGGUCAAUGGGCGCGAGCCUGAACCAGCCAAGUAGCGUGAAGGAUGACUGCCCUACGGGUUGUAAACUUCUUUUGUUUGGGAAUAAAUGAUAUUACGUGUAGUAUUUUGCAUGUACCUUACGAAUAAGCAUCGGCUAAUUCCGUG